rnacentral:rRNA from 1 species
GACGAACGCUGGCGGCGUGCCUAAUACAUGCAAGUCGAACGGACAGACGCUGAUCUUGCUCCUUGGUCGUUUGCCGCGGACGUGUGUGUCACAUGUGUAUAACCUACUUGUCUUACUGGUAAAAUCACGGGAAUGCGGCUAUUAUACCGUAUAAUAUAUUGAACCGCAGUGGGCAUUGGUGAAAUUCGGCUGUGGUGGAUCGUAUAGCUGCAUCUGCGCUGGAUUAGGUAGUUGGUAAGGUAACGGCUUACCAAGGCAACGAUGCGUAGCCGACCUGAGAGGGUGAUCGGCCACACUGGAGCUGAGACACGGUCCAGACUCCUACGGGAGGCAGCAGUAGGGAAUCUUCCGCAAUGGGCGAAAGCCUGACGGAGCAACGCCGCGUGAGUGAUGAAGGUCUUCGGAUCGUAAAACUCUGUUAUUAGGGAAGAACAAAUGUGUAAGUAACUAUGCACGUAUUGACGGUACCUAAUCAGAAAGCCACGGCUAACUACGUG